UAUACCUGGCAGUAAGAAGCAAUUCCAGGAGGCCUAUAUAUGGUCAGCAGUUGACUGCAUUUUGCAAUAGUUUUGUCAUCUCACUCAGACACAUCAGCCACCACACUAGCUGGAAGGAUCAGUCCCGGCAACCUCACCACCAUCAGCAGUCACAGAGUAAAUUAGAUUCUCUCUCAAGAUGAAGACUUGGUUAGUGGUGGUGGUGGUGGUGACGGUGGUGGUGACGGUGUUGGGGGCGGAGUCCAGCUGCCCCACCUGGAGUCCCCACCUGUGUAGCCUGGAUGAAAAGUUCUCCCACCCCAGUGAUUGCUCCAAGUACUGCCAGUGUGCCGCCAACCAUGUCGUCAAGGAGAUGUCCUGCCCAGCAUUAACAUUCUAUGAUGAUAAUAUGAAGAUCUGCAAUCAUCAGGCGUCGGUUCUUUGCAAUGUACAGCCUCCUCAGUCAGAGACAUCAACAGAACCUCCUGAACAUUAGCAGUUAGCAGAUAUUAGACUGUCAGGAAUAACUAACCC